rnacentral:rRNA from 1 species
UCGUGUCAGGACGAACGCUGGCGGCGUGCCUAAUACAUGCAAGUCGAACGGUCUUUCUAUGGAAGCUUGCUUCCACUGAAAAGAUAGUGGCGAACGGGUGAGUAACACGUGGGUAACCUGCCCAUAAGAGGGGGAUAACAUCCGGAAACGGGUGCUAAUACCGCAUAGUUUUCUUGAUCGCAUGAUCGGGAAAGGAAAGACGGCCUUUGUGCUGUCGCUUAUGGAUGGACCCGCGGCGUAUUAGUUAGUUGGUGAGGUAACGGCUCACCAAGACGAUGAUACGUAGCCGACCUGAGAGGGUGAUCGGCCACAUUGGGACUGAGACACGGCCCAAACUCCUACGGGAGGCAGCAGUAGGGAAUCUUCCGCAAUGGACGAAAGUCUGACGGAGCAACGCCGCGUGAGUGAAGAAGGUUUUUCCGGAUCGUAAAACUCUGUUGUCAGAGAAGAGCAAGUUGGAGAGUAACUGCUCCAGCCUUGACGGUAUCUGACCAGAAAGCCACGGCUAACUACGUGCCAGCCGCAGC